rnacentral:lncRNA from 1 species
CUUGUUUCCAAACAUUGAGGAACAUUAUUUCUUAUUUCGCAGACAAGCAGGGAACUUUCUUGUCUCUUAUUGGACACUACCGUCAAAGGAACAAUAGAAGAAGAAUAUGAGACCAUGUAAUUGGUCGAGAGUUUGACAGAAAAAGACGUCAUCAAAACAGCUGUCUUUUAAUUAUCACUACAACCUGAUCAAUAAUCCUGUUUUCACCGGUAUAUCACUGCGGAUUUACCAUCAAACGUCUCUGAUCAAACACCUGUUUUUGUGGCUGGAUUGUAAACCUUGUGGCAGGUGUAGAAAUGUCUGGAAACCCUCGAUACAUCGUCAAAAGGGUAAACUUUUGAACACUUUAUAUCCUGUAGAGAUACACAGUAUAGUUCCUGAGAAACUGUAAACAAUAUUAAUGGUGAUCCAGUGGAGUUCUACGACAACUCUGCUGCAGAAGCUCAGGAUAGGACGGCUUUAUCCCCCCAGGAUUUUUCCACUUAAACUGAUCUGAGAAACAGGGGCGGAGCUAGACUUUUUGGACUAAGGGGGCCCAAGUCCUGCACUCAGUAUCAAAGGGGUGGCCUAAAGGGAUGACGUCUGUUUACAUUUAUCAAAACUGAUAAUAAUCGCUGUAAAAACUCCACCUUCUACUCCUCCUAUUAUCUAGACAGGAUAUCAAAAUUAACAGGCCUUAAUGUUAACGUUUUGCAACCACUCUGUACCUCUGUACUCUACAACCCAAACAAAAAACAUCCAUAAAAAUCCACAUACCAACUAAAAUCUACAAAGAUUGACCCGGCUCACAUGGAAGAGCAGGUUUUGGAUCUUUGUUUGAACGAGGUGAACCCAGUAUGCCUUCAGGUAGGGCUGGCCGAUAAACUGAGAAUUUACCGAUACUGAAAUUUAUGACAAUAACCGACGUCAUUUUGCCCAUAUCGGUGUAUUUGGUGUCAAAAAAAUGAAUAAAUGUUGUUUUUGGAUGUGUGUAGGUAGGCUAUGGUCUCAUGUCCCUUUAAGACGCUGCCCUUCGUCUUAAAGGGACGUCUUGUUGCGGCUGGAGCGUUGGCUUGAGCAGACGAGGUUAAUGUGGGAGGGGGUGGCAGCUUGUGGAGUAGUUAUCGUCCAUUUAUCGUUACCGAGGUGAUCAAUAUAUCCUGAUAUUGAUUUGAGGCCAUAUCGCCCAGCCCUACCUUCAGGGUUACACUGUCUCCAUUAACAUAAACCAUAAAGGUGCUGCAGUAAAGAGGAGUUUCAUAAUAACCCUGUAGCGCUGAAAUGUUGAUGUUAAAGAGAAAAUGAAGGUUUAGAUAACUGUUUAAAUAAACAAAUUAACAUUCAUAUUGGAUAUGAAUUUAAAGAGAAACUUUAAUAAUUAAGGAUUGACAGAUUAACGACGUCAUUCUUCACUUAUAAUUGGAAAAGUAUUAACCGAUUAAAACGAAUUUCUUCCUUUAGAAAAUCUGAUUGACCGAGAGUUUGAAAACGCUCGAGUAUCAGACGUCAGGAUGAGAAAACCUGAUUAUAGAGGAGGCAUCGUCAACCUGCUGAAAGGGUGACUGUCAUUAAAAAGUGAAUAAACAUGCUGCAGAUCGAGUUUCUCCACCAUCCCUCAGAGCAGGUUUCACAUUAUCUCCACAUUACAAACACAACAAUAAGACAUAAAGCUCCUUCUCUUAAUGAUAACCGAGAGGCGGCACAGAGGUACAAACAGCACCUUGACACAGCGGCCAUAUUCAUUUGUAUCCCUUAGUAUUCAAAAUGUCAAUGACAUAUUUGUCUAGACGCCAUUAUCUCCGUCUGGAUUCCACAACAGAGCUGCGGCGAGGCUGAACGUGGACGCCCGCGGUUCAGUGUUGAUAUAUUUCCCUGGGGAGGCUGCGGUUUUCUCUGCUGCAAGAAAAAUCCUUUUUUUUCUUUUCACUGAACACAAUUUGCUCAAUUUCACUAUGAAGCAACAGAGUCUGAAAAUCCAUUUCCCUCCAUGGAGAAUUUCAAUGAGUGUUUUUACUUACAGUGAAAUGAAAAUGAUGCUGUAAUCAGACCGCAGUCUUAACCGGGGGCCAAUUAGUGAGCUUUACAUUGAAGGUUAAGUUCGGACUUAAACAGAUGGUUCUGCAAAAACACGUCAGUCAACAAGUUUAACUUAUAUGUUUUAAUGGAGAAAUGUAGUCUGCUGUUUAGUUUAACUGAACAGUAUGACUGUAAUUCUGACAGAGUGAUAUAGAAAAUAUAUAUAUUCAAUUAUAAUAAAGAGUGUUUUAACCUGUAAGUUUUCAGGCUGUUUAAAACUUGGUAAAAAAUCAACAAAAAACUCAUUUGCAUUAAAUCUUAAUUAAAAAAGUGAGUUUAUUGUUCUCUGCCAACUAAACUUUAUCCUACUGAGAAAAAAAAAUACACCUUUAAGGUAAUUUUUUUCUUUUUAUAGGAUCUUUAAUUCUCUGAAAGAAUUUAUGGCUCAUAAACUUUUACUUUUAGGGUUUGUAAUGGGUUUUGGUGUCCCAGGAGAUUAGGAACCAAGUUCACCUCAGGGGCGGUAAUCAACAGUGACACUACAAUACGAUAUUAUCACAAUACUUUAGCCACAAUACGAUAUUACCAUGGUAUGAUACUAUCACGAUACUUGGGCCAUGAUAAGAUAUAAUCAUGAUACUUAGGCAACUGUACUAUAUUAUCACGAUUCUUGAGCCAUGAUACGAUAUUAUCACAAUACUUGGGCCAUGAUACGAUAUUAUCACAAUACUUGAGCCAUGAUACGAUAUUAUCACAAUACUUGGGCCAUGAUACGAUAUUAUCACAAUACUUGGGCCACAAUAUAUUAUCACGAUACUUGGGCCAUGAUACGAUAUUAUCACAAUACUUGGGCCAUGAUAUGAUAUUAUCACGAUGCAAUACUAUCACAAUACUAUGGCCAUGAUACAAUAUUGUCAAAAUACUUGAGCCAAGAUACAAUACUAUCAUGAUACUUGGGCCAAAAUACGAUACUAUCACGAUACUUGGGCCAUGACAUGAUGUUACCAUGAUUCUUGAGCCACAAUACAAUUUUAUCACGAUACUAAGGCCAUGAUACAAUAUUAUCAAAAUACUUGAGCCAAGAUACAAUACAACAUGAUACUUGGGCGAUGAUACAAUACUAUCACGAUACUUGGGCCACGAUACGAUAUUAUCACGAUACUUGGGCUAUGUUACGAUACUAUCACGAUACUUGGGCCAUGAUACAACAUUUUCAUGAUACUUGAGCCACAAUAAAAUAUUAUGACUACACGAUAUUAUCACAAUACUUGGGCCACGAUAUGAUAAUAUCACGAUACUUGAGCCAUGAUACAAAAUCAUCACGAUACUUGGGCCACGAUAUGUUACUAUCAUGAUACUUGGGUCAUGAUACAAUAUUAAUUACACUUAAUUACACUUAGCAUAGAUGGAUGCAGAGGUUGUUAUUUCCACUUUCACGCACAACUCUUGUAACUUUGUGUAACUCUGUGUAACUUCUUCUGGUGCUGGGAUGUUUUAUUAUUUUUUGGGAACAACGCAGAACAUCUGGUGUGUCUGGUUUGGCAUCUUAACUCUGCUACACUAAAGCGAGAGGAGUGGGAGUGUCUGCCUGCACACCAGACAAAAUCUCUCCCGUCAUUAUGCUUCUCCAAGGUCGAACUCAACAUGUUUUUGUUGAAAGAAUAUUUCCUACAUUCCACAUUUCUUGGUUGCUGAGGGCUGAAGUAUGACAGAAGUAUGUGUGUACAGAAGGAGAGGAGGAAUCUAUCCUUCAUUAUCAGGGACCUUUAACUCCUGAGCUGAAUGUGUGCCGCGUUUCUCUGCAGCUGUUAACAAGAAUAAUCCUCUUUUACCAGUAAAUGUAAUUAGUAAUGUAAAUAAGUGACGGGUAAGAGAGCCGAGCUUAAAGAAGCACAUUUGGAGGUUCAGCAGAGAGACAAAAAAACGCUGACUCAUCAGUUCGAGUCGCAGUUUUAGGACUUUUAACUGGAAUUAAAAAUAAUGUCUGAAGCAUUAACGGCUGUUUCUCACCAUCAUCCGUACGGCUAAUAUUCCAUCUACGCCUUUUUAACUUUUUACUCUUAAACUUUUUGAGAGGUAAUUAUCAUCCUUUAGACACACACACUCACACUCACACACACACACACACACACUUACACACACUAUCUAAACUCCAGAGGCGAGCUUUGAUCACCAGCACAUUAGCUUUACAUUAGAAACAAUCAUUAGGAGGACAUCAUCCUCACCACCAAUUUGCCUUGGGAAAAUAGUGGAGCUGGAGUGUGCUUCAGCCCGCAGAGCGCCAAUGAGCCACGGCAAACCUGAUUAAGCCUCAUGGUAAUGUAUCGCUCCUCCUGGCCCGGGCUUCUGGAGAUGAAGGACUCGUCUUCAUAUUAAACGGAAACCAGAGACUGAAGUGGAUUCAUUUUUAGAAAACUCCUUUGAGGAGGUUUUACUCCUGCAGGGAAGCGUGUGUCAAAAGAUAAACGAGUUCAGUAAUGUCGAGAUAAACCCUCGCAGGUCGGAUUUUCAAAGAGUCGCCUCUGAGGCCGCCGCCGCUGCCGCUCUCAGGCUUUAAGAGAGUACAUCACACUGUCAUGAGUCAAACUUUCAAUAUUUUUAAACCUGUGAAAAAAACAACAACUCUUUUAUCUAACCCAGCUGAGGAAUCGAAAAACAGCCAGAUGCUUUUUUCAGGCUUUUAUUUUGAAAGGAUGAGCUCAGAGGCACCAACCUCCAUAUGUCAGCUGCCUAACGCCCCGAGUUAUUAAAAUCAACUUUAAUGUGUCCUGACAGUUUAGGAAUAAAGUCAGAGAAAAGCCAAUCACGUACAGUAGCAGCCCUUUUUACACGAGCGCCACACGCCUGAAAAUUCACGACUUAGCAGAGGUGGGCGACACGACCAAUCAGAACAAAACAAAAGAACCGACAACCAUGAUCGACCCAACUGUAUUCAUACAUCAUCCUCUUAAACAAAACUUUUUUACAAAUUAAGUUUUUCAUACUUUUAUUUUGACAUGUAUUUUUUAUAUAUCCUACAUUAUCAAUAUGAUUUUUGGUUUUAGGUUUUCGAGUUCAAAAACGGUCCUGACGUAAAAAUGGUCCUUUUGUUUAGUCACCCAAAGAAAAAAAAGGUUUUAAAGUUGUUCAUAAAUUUAUAACAAAUCUUAAACAUCGGUUUAAAAAGUGCUGAAUCAGCUCUCAAAAAUUAGUUUUACAGCUAGUUUACUGGAAGUCUGCUUUUUCUUCUUCUUCUUCAUUAUUUUAUAUUCUCUGUUUCACAAUAUUAUAAUACAUUAUAUUAUAAUAUAUGGUAACAGACUCCACAAUGGUUAUAAAGAAUUGUGUUGCUAUUUGCUUAUUUUUGAUAUCAAAAAUAUCAAAUUUUUGAGCGCACAGACGGCCGAGUGGGUUAGCGCCCUAUGUAUGGGUACCAUGGUCCCCGCAGCAGCCGCGGAUUUGAGUCCGACCCCGACCAUGUGCUGCAUGUCCUCCCACCCCAUCGCCCCAUACUUCCAACCUAUCCUAUCAAUAAAUCACCAAAAAAACUUUAAAAAGCAAAAUAAAAAAGUAAAGAAAGUAAGUUAUAGUCCAAACUUAAUCCAUGUCAAACUGUUUAAACGUUUCUACAUAUAAAUAUAUUAAUAUGUUAAACAGGAAUGAUCACAGCAGACAGUAGUAGAGGAUUUAUUAUAGAUAGACCUUCAACAGCUGACAUACUGCCUUUGUGUUCAGGUACAGCAGUCUGCUCUCUACUGUAUAUUACUCACCUCUACACACACACACACACACACACACACACACACACACACACACACACACACACACACACACACACACACACAGUUUCACACAGGAGCCCAAUGAAGCUGAAUUAACAAAUUACAGAAGCAUCCUGGGCUCAUUUGCUCGUCCCCACUGAUCGGGCAGAUGCUCACUGGCAGGAAUUCAGUCCAGUAUUCAGUAGAAGAGAGUCUGCGGUUUAACACAGGAGGAGGAGUUUUAUAUACAGACGGAUGAAGACGAAGAGGAAGAGGAAAAGGAAAAGGUCUGUUUUACACUCAUGUAAAGAGAAAAAUGUAUAUGUUGUGAAUCAGCUGUUAAAUUAGUCAGAUAAAACAGGAUAAAAUAAAAGGUUUCCCUCCUUUACUGAGAUUUUUUUUGUCUUUAUUGACCUGCUGAAUCAUGUGACAAUCCCUCACACACACGACAUUUCAAAUAACCGACAUUCAAUCUAUUGCAAUUAUGAAAAUAUUGAUUAGCUCCUGGAAAAGGGCAACUCAAGACCAGCACACACACACACACACACACACACACACACACACACUGCAGGGUGUGUGCAGCACAUAAUGACAUCAUGGUAUAUCCAUAAUCGCAUUACUCAAAGAUUGGCUUGUUGCUGAAUCUGCUCUAUGAAUAAAAUAGAAGAAAAUAUCUUUAUAAACACGAAUUAAAGAGCUGCAUAACACUUAGAUGAUAGUGAGGUAAGAGGAGGGUUAAACCAGAGAGGAUAUAUGCUAUUUAUCUGUAUGUGCAUUUAGGCCACCCCCGCCUAUCCGAGCUGGGCCACCCCAACCUGAAAAGUCAAGACACACCCCUGCUAGAAUCCGAUUUUUCACAGUCCUGGUUUUGUUUUCGACUUAAAACAUCGGCAGAAAUCCAUGAUACAUUUGUGACUAUUUAUAUUUAUUCAUGUUCAUGUUUAAAUCUGGACAUUCGUCUUUUUUUGAUAUUAAAAAAAAAAAUCCUGUCAUGGAAACUAGGAUGCUAUUUUUAUUUUGGAUAUCCAGGACCAAAAUAAUGACGUUUAUUUAUUGGAAAAAUGAUCUGCAGCAGAUAUUUAAAAAUGACUGAGUGGAUGUUUGCAAAAAUGCUCAUCUACUGCCUUAAAGACACCUGGAAUAGAUUUCAAAUACUCAGGAUGUUACAGAGGAACAUUCAUUCGAUCGAGUCAUUAAAUGUUAAAAUGCUCCUUUUUUAAUGUGGUAAUAAAUGGAUAAAUCUUUGCUGUGAUUUUAUUGUGAAAGGAGGAAAUAAAACACCCCUCUGUGACUUUAGUUUGCGUCCGUGUCCGUCUCGUCUCUGUGAUUAUAAAUCGGAGCGGGCUUCAGCGGCGCUUUUGUCAGUCCGUAUUGAUUGUAAGGGAAAUACCUGCAGUCUGACACAGCCAAUUUGUCAUGAACAGUAGAGGCGCACACCCAAUGCCACUUUACAGGUCCAAUUCAUCACGUCGUAUUGACUCGCCUCGGCUUCUUCCUGGCCAUCAAUUAUAAUCGGAGGUAAAGGCGUCAGCGCGCCGCUCGACGGGUCCCUGUGUGUUUAUCAAAGAUAGUAUGAGAGGAGAGUUUGUGCUCCUUGUUAUUGACCGAUCUGUGUUUGAGAGCUUCGGUUCACUCGCUGCAAUAAGAGGUAAAAGCCUCUCCUUUCUCUCGCCAUCCUGACCUCCUAACACCCCCUCUUUAGUCUACAUUUACCCUGUGACUCCGCCCACCCGCUGACAUCUUCCUCAUCAGUACCAAACCCCCUGGUAUUUAAUGUUUCCAGGGAGAGAAAGCCUGAUAGAUUCGGGGCGUAAUGAUGCGGCUCGGACUCGCAGGCUGUCAGGUGAGCGCGUGUCUCAGCGCCCCCUGGAGUCUCGGAAAGGUCAGCGUGCCUCUUAAUCAAACAUCAGGCAGGCCAACCCCACUGUCAGCUGGACGGAGACGCUCAGCCCCUCGCUGAGUCUAAAGUUCACUCCCAUCUGCUUCCUGAAACCGAACACAGACAUGAAACGGCAGCUGUGGAUCCUCCUCAUCGUGGCUUUAAAAGCUCUGAAUGAUACAGAAGAUUAACGAGACUCAAAAAUGGAGAUUCAGGGAAAGUAGAAGGUGCUGCUGGGUGUAGGGCUGGGAGACAUGUCCUCAAAUCAACAUUAGGAUAUAUUGAUCACUUCACCUCGAUAAUGAUAAAUGGACGAUCACUACUCCACAAGCUGCUCACCCCCUCUACAUCUGCCGCCGUCUUCCAUCUCCUCACCUGUCCUUCCCUCCCACUGCGUAAUGCAACGUUGAAAUGACAUCUAUUUAAUGUUAGUUUAACGUCUAAAAGCGGUCCAAUAAUGAUGUCUAAAUCUUGGAUCUAUUUUGGACAUUGUGCCGACAACUAGAUUUGGUCUUCAAAUGAAAUUCUAAAGUCAGAGCAACGUUUAAACAAGGUCCAAUUUGGACGUUGAAAUUUCUAACCUAUUCUGCACGUCGCACUGACGUCUAGAUGUGGUCUUUGACGGACCGACCCAAUACUGACUUGAUCUGUAUGUCUCUUCGACAUCCGAUGUUACAUCUUUGUUACGGACUGUAUGGGGUGGAGUCACGUCUCUGACGGUAAAUUCUCAGUUAAUCGUCCAGCUCUACUGUCAUGGUAUUAGAGGUGAAGCUGGAGGCAAACGUGUGUUAUCACAUCAGGGUAGAAGGUGACGAAGGAUUCCUAUGAUCUUGUCUUUUCGUGUUGUUGGUUUCAGAAUAUUAUAUCAUAAUGGUGCUGCUCACCAAAGAAGUUUCGGAGUAUCUGAAUGUGCUGAAGUGUUUAAGGUAAAGGUCAGAGGUCAGAGUUAAGUUUGAAAAGUAUAAUGAUCUUCAAAAGAAUAGACCGAUACAGGCUAAAUGACGUUGGUUAUUGUUGUAAAUUUCAGUAUUGGUAAAUUUUCGGUUUAUCGCCCAGCCCUACGCUGGGAGUGGACAUGGGCCGACCCUCUAAAUGGGGCGCUCAUAGAUCAUGAGGCCAUAAUUGGUCAAAUCUACUUUUUCAGAUGCAUUUUAGGAUGGACUUGCAGUCUGUCAGACACAUCACAUGUUUUACAGAUAUUUGAUAAUAUUCGAUAACAUUAUUAGAGAUGAAUAUUUAAUGACUGUUAAUGACACUUUAAAUAGUUAAAUCCAACUUUUUAAUGUGUGAAAUUAAAGGUUUGUCUUUCUGGUGUCAUAAUAUGUCAUAAAACUUCUAUUAAUUUCCAACAUUGUUUAAAAAAACUUGAUUCCUGCUGUCCGUAAUUCGCCAUGAAAUUUGCCUCACAAACGGAUCUGGUAGGAAUUGCCAGACAGCGAAAAUUGCCGCCAUUCUGGAUCGGAGCCGUUUCAGAUGCAGUGAAAAUUGGGGGUAAAUCUGCACACAUGUUCACCUCACUGUAAGAGAUUGAGUUCACAGUGAGUAAAACAGUCGUCACAAAACAAACACACUCGCUGCAUUAUGAGCUGUCGUUUCGAUAACCUCGGCCUCGACCCCGCGCACUUACAGACUCCAACAGCAGGAGGCGGUCAAAAUAAAUCUCCAGAGAAAUGAAUCUGCCUUCAUCGAGGAGACGUCUCACCUCAGCCCGCCUCGCUCGGUUUCGCUCCUCCUCCUCCUCCUCCUCCUCCUCCUCCUCCUGCGGCCUGUUGCCUCUCAGAGAUGCUGAACGUUCGUCUGCUCACUCUCAUCAAACCUCCGCGUUGUUGUUGUUGUUGUUGUUCGGGGAUUAUACUUCCCUCUCUUAAUGAGCCGCUCACUUGAAAGGCGGAUGAAUCUUUUUGUGCGAAGAAAAAGAAAAAUCCUCCGAAGAGCUUCGAGAUUCACGGCAUGAUUACGCCCCUCAGAGAAACAUCUAAUGCGUUGAAAAAAUGGCGUUCAAAAGGGCCUCCAAUUAAUUCAAAUGAAUCCCCGACACCCGUAUCAUAAUUAAUAAUGUAUCAGCUGCUCCACCAGAGGAACACAGAGGCUAAUCUGAGCGGGCAGACUGUACGGCGAGGAGAAACCCCUCUAAUGUUUGGGGAAUAGGAAACAUUCUCCUCGCCAACAGGUGCUUUUUCACUAUCUGUCUGCUCGCUUUAAUGAUCUCAUUAGAAAGACACUCCAACAGGAACGCCGCCUUUAGCACCUUCGCUACACGACGGGGACUACAACAGCAGCCGGGCCGCGCCGCCGCCGCGCAGGGCGUCUGUCUGAUGUCACCGCUGUAACAGGAUCUGCUUACUUUCAAGAUGGACAAGACCGAGAGCGAGAUAGAGGGGGAAAAAAAGCCUAAUUGAAUUCCCAGAGCUCGCCAUGCACAAAGCGCUCGCCACAGCGCUGCACACGAGCAGAGAGGCGCCACUUCACAGCGAAGAUUUAGAGCCUCUGAGUCCUGAUCCUCUAAUUUGAGCCCAAAUUCAAACCUUGUAACGUUAAAAUCAUGGGUUCAAAGGUCAUGUGACUCCUUCUCCAUCACAGCUCCUGUAGCUAAGCUGCGGCGCUACUUUUAGCCGCUCAGAGCUCCGAGGAACUACGGGAGAGGGGCGUGUCAAAUACAGCCAAUGAAAAAGGGAGUUGCUCCAGAUCCGCUUCGCUCUGAACCAAUCAUGUUCUGAAUUCGAACCAAGUAUCAACCAACUGCAAAGUCGUAGCAGACAGCAGCUCCACCCAACCAUAGCACUGUAACAGGUGAAGCCGACAGCACUGUUGGUGAGAAACAAAGAAAAUGAGUGCUACCCCCGACAGAAAUGACCAUGAAGGCUCAACAGAUGACCACAUCAAUGUCAACCACAACACUGGCGUUAGGAAAACGUCGGUGAAAACGUCACACAUGCAAUAGCUUAUUGUAUUGCAAAAGACACGCUACCAAUGAGCACUCUUAAAUUUCCUCUUUUUAUAUCGUGAUAAACUUUUUUCCAUGUCGCUCAGCCCUAAACAAAACCUACGUGGACUCUUAAUUUUGGAAAGUUCUGUGUCUUUGUAGGUGAUAAUGAGGUGAACUAAAGUCUUGGAAGUUAUUGACUCGUUUUUAAAAGGUGUGACCGCAGAGUUUAGAUCCAUGUGGCGUCUUAAACUGUCAGAAAAAACAGCUGAGAGAAAAGCGCUGUGAACGCCCCAACAAUGCAGAUUUGUCCUCUGGCGUGGGUUUGGACUCGAAUGCACCCACACACCGGUGCAAGUUUUCCUCCUCGCAGCGACAUUACUUUAUAACCUUGACGAAAAUAAAGGUGAAGAAACAUUUAGCGUGAUGGAUUACCCAUCUCAAACAAAUUGAAACUCUCUGCGAGUUGAUUUUCUUUCACUGCAUGGAAAUUAAUGGAAAGUGCCUGCGAGGGGAGGGAAUUAAUCUAAAAGCAUAUGUUAUAGUUUGGAGAUCAGACGGCACUAACUGUACAUGCAAUUUGUAGUUAAUGGCCUAAAACACCAGUACGCUCCCUUAAGCUCGGACGCCGCUGAGAUAUGGAUGAUGCAGAAGGUGCUGUAACUGAAUCCAGGAGGAUUUAGUGGAGAUGUUGUGCUCUAAAUUUCUGCAGCGAGGUCUGGCUCUGUUUUUAAGGAGGAAGUGCUCUGGCAGAGGCUCCUCAUAAUCAAUGGACAGCACUGAAAUUAGAGGCUAAAUUGGUGGUCUGUCAUCCGGGGAGAGCGUGCGGUGCCAGAGUAGAUUUUAUGUCAUAGAUACAGCUUCUGGUUUUCCCAGGCCAGAUCCGAGUCUGGACUUUGUUUUCCGAACUGAUUUAAAAUUCGAACAGACGUGUAGAGAUAGAUAUUAGAUAUAGAGUACGACAUCGUGAGCUGAGUUAGCUCGUUCAACGUUUUGAUGGAAACUCCCUCAGCCGCCGAUAAAAGGCGUUUUCCUCUCAUGACGGAGCGGGUGUUUGUGUCGGGCAUUAACGAUGAUUCCCCUCAGUUCCACUCGUUAGGACUCUGACAUGAUAAGCUGGUUCCCACCACUUACUCCUGGUUCUGAGUGUAAUUGCAUUUCACAGGCAGACAGUGUGUGUGCGCGGAAUGAGUAAGCGGACGCCUCGGUGACUCAAUUUGUCUGAAAUCACUACAUCUCACCGCCGAUAUUACCGUCUUACACGUGUAAUUUUGUGUCUUUUGGAGGACGGGACUCUGUGAACGAGUAUUAGUCUGAGUUAGAAGGUAAACAGAUCAGGAGGGAGGGGGUGAGAGCAAGAGUGAGAGCGACAGAGUGACAGACAGAGGGGCAGAUGGAGGGAGGAUAAAAAAGGUGCAUUGCCAAUUUUUUGACUUUCAAAUUGGAGCAGAGCGUCCACCAUGAUGAGGGAGAUUGGAAACCUAUUAAAAACUAAGCUGAGAAAAACAAUUGGGUCCUAAUUUCUGCCAAGAUGAGCCAGACUCUGCUUGGACCGGGCGAAUAAACAUCUCCGACUCUGAUGAGGAUUUAAAGGUAGGAAACAGAGAGAGGGGAUGACAGAUCCACCCCCCCGAGUCAUGAAUCUGCAUUUGGAAGUCCUCCAGCUGGAUCCUGUUCGGGGUUUCCAUUUGGUGUUGACCUUGUGAUGACUUUCAGGUUCGCUGUUUUCCUCUUUUGUUAAUUUGAAAUGUUUGAUCAAUCCUUUAUUCAGAGAUGACUCAGGAGAGGUGACGAGAAAUGAGAAAAAGCAAAAACCAGAACGUCUUCUUGAGGUGGUCUAAAGAUAAAAGACUUAUUCUGUGUUCCAGUUGUACUCAGAAGUCGGGAUUUCCGAGCUCUGAGUUGGAGAUUCGUCUUUAUUUUUUACUGCCCAACGUCGAAUGGUGAACAUGGUGCCGACAUGCCACCGACUUGUUUACUGUAACGCUGUCAAUUCGGGUGUAGCGUCAUUCCCAGCUCCGACGUCCGUGGUAACUGGAACGCAGGAUUAGAUCUACUAUAGAUGUCAGAACAUGAAACAUCUAUGUCAGAAACUCUAUCCUGUUACUCAAACAUGUCAGGAACCGACUGCCUGCAGUGUCUGCAGACAAGACGAGCUUCAGGGUUCGUUCCGGUCGUACUUCGCCACUCCACGACAUUUUUGUUUGAAGACGGUUGAACGUUUGUGGAGGUUGUUGUGGUUUUAACCCCGAUAAAGGAAACAAAAACAUCCCUCAGACCGAGCUUCUCAUUAAGACCUUCUCAUUAAGACCUGGUUCUGGUCGCGCUUAUCCAAGGCUUGAUUGAUGAUGGGCAGCUGGACCCAAACCAAGUCUAGUACCCUGUUGCGGACGGACAAAAUUGUCACCCCAACUGUUUGUGAAGUUUGAUCAGCCUCCUGAUCACGUGGAGUUGGGGGGGGAGGAGCCUAUGAGAAGGUUACCUCAAGCCCAUGAGAAUUUGUGAGACAAUUCACGGCAAGCCAGUGGGCGGGGUUAAUGACAUCACAUGACAGGUGCGAACCCAAAACGGUCGACGAUGGAGGGUGUUUUAUCGGCAACAUUAGCGCUAAUGUUCAAAGGAGGGUGGGGCUACAUGAGUUUGGCCAAAAAUAACAUCCUGAUUUUUUUCUCUGAAAACUCGAUUUUUGAUUUCUAUUUUUUAUUCAUAUUAAAAAUAAAAAGUUUUUCUCUCACAACGAAACCACUGAAAACGAUGUAGUACAUAUGCCAAGUCAGUAAGUGGCGCUGUAACGCUGCGUGGGUACACUUAAAAGAGUUAAAACUGAGCAGAACUUUUUACGCUAACACCGUCUAGACGUUACAUAACUAGAUGCCAUCUGUUAUCUGUUUGUUGACUCUGGAGUAGGAGUGGCUCAGGCUAACGAUGGCUGCCACAGCUUAGACACAAGACAAGACGAGCUUUCAGAUUAGAUUAGAUAAUCUUAUUAACGACCAGAGUAGAAACUCAUUUAUCACAAGGUUAAUCCAUAAACACGACAAAAACACUGACAAGACAACCAAACAGAGUCCGCCUUCUUGAUCAGCUGAUGGAUAUAAUUUUGAUAAGAUGGUUCAUGCUGACUGAGUCUAAAAUACAGAAUCCAGGAGUAUUUCAGCGAUCACAUGAUCCAUCAGGUGAAAAAAAACACGUCCAACAGGAGGAUCUAUCAUCCUUGUUCUUGCAAAAACUCAAAUUAUCCGUCAUUACCAGAGUGGUCGGUCAGAGCAGGAAUAACGGAUUUUUCUGGUGCAGCCGCUCAUUUAGAAACUGAAGCUGAUUUUAGAUGUAAAAACGAGUCAAAUACUGAGCGGUGUUUAAGUGAAGUGAAUGUCAGCCCGUGUAAUCCGCUGUAUGGUCCUUAACUGAUGACGCCCUUCUAUAUCUUUAUGACUGCAUUUUAUAGGCAUCAAUAAGCGAUAAUGGCUUUCGCUUGGAUUCACUCCUGAAUGCACUUCAUGAAAAGAGACAAAUGCAUCAUGUCGCUCGUAUGUUGAGUGUGUUCGCGGAGUUUAACUAUGAUGUUGAAGCAGAAGAUAGAAAUCAACCAGAGUCCUUGAAGGAGCCCAAUUACUCUGCCUCUUCAUAACAGACGAACGUCGUCGCCGCAAUCAGACCUUAACAAGCGCAGGUCCUCCAUCUCGAGAUGCAAACAAUGUCGGGGAUGGAUGGGACCAGCUGUAUGAAAUAUUCAGCUGCUGUAUACUCAUUAUUUCACCGGAGCACUCAGCAUGGUGCAGCCCGGCUAAGUGGUGAUUGAUUGCUGGGAGAGAGGGAGAAACAAAGAGAGAUGGCGGAUCCUGUAUGCAAGAGGAGGAGGAGGAGGAGAAGGAGGAGAAGGAGGAGGAGGGAAAAAAGCUGCGGAAUAUUUCAGAGCUUUUAUGUCUGUGUGUGUGUGAGAGUGUGUGUCUGUGUGUGUGUGUGAGGCAGUAAAAUCAAGACACAGCACACAGUGUGACGCAACUGUAACCAGUUUCAAAAUUCAAUUAUCUCAGCGGCGACAAUAAAAAUGAAUGGAGCAACAAUAAAAUAAGUGUGAUGUCCCGGUUUCUACAACUCCGGGUUUGACUGCCGGUGGGAGUUAAUUUGAAUCUUCGGCGCCUUUUAAUCUCUGCCAAAUAAAAUGAUUAUUUCUGCUUUUUUUAUCUGGAGCACAAGAGACACAAACUUCAAACCAAAACUGAUGGACUAACUUUGUUUGUUUACCCUCCUAAUAACAGAAACAGGCGCUGAAUUCAGCACUGUGGUCUUCAGACUGUCCUGUAACAUGUACAGACGUUUAUACGAGCAGCACUGGGACAAAGUGGUCAUUUACUGUGAAACUGCCGAUUGGUCUCUGAAGCGUUCACAACAAUUAAAGUGGCAUUAAGGUCCCAUUCAUUAACAUGCGGAAGCAAUCAAGGUGUUUGGGUUUUAAAGUUCUGUCCAUAACUUACAGAAAAGUUCAAUAGUUUGGGAAAUUAGCUUGUUUGUUUUAAAGCGAUUAAAGGUCUUCUAUAAUGAUGUUAUUUAGCUAUUUACAACAUGUCCUAGUUGGGUUUAAACUCAAACAUCACGAGUUCAGCCUCUGUGGGGAUCUGAAACCUCUCGAUUCCUACCGUUAAUGAGGCGAGCUCUAAUAUGUGGUCAAAAAUGUGGUCAAAAAGGGAAUAUAAGCUGAUGUGUAAAGAUGCAGAGGCGGAAAAACACCAAAACAAUCAUGGCGAGCUCUCCAGAAGAACCCAGACAACAAACCCAGCGCUGAACUGACCCUCACUGUUAUUGCAGCAGUUUGAGGUGAAGUCACUAGUAUGAACAAAUUAGCAUCAAACUUAGCUAAACUUAAAAAGUGGUAUACAUGCCAAGAAAACCUCAGUAGAGUUGGAGAAAGCGCGACCACAUAAGGAGUGGGAGUGUUUUAACUCAUUCCUGUCGUGACAUCAUCACAGGAGCCAAUUCAAAUCCCCUUAUAGAGGCAGUUUUAAUUACAUAUUUUAACUAAAACAACACAGAGAUACUUUUGGCUAACAAAUUUUCAGAGGAAAACUAAAGUUCACAUAUACAGGGAAGAGAAAAUUAGCCGAGCACCGAGCUUGGACAAAAGACUGGAUACGUUGUUGAGGCCAAACAGGAAAUCUAAUUUAAAUGAUGAAUUUAAUUUACGCUAAACUAGCUCAAGGAAAGAAUAUUAAUUUAAAGCUGGUUUUAAUUUUCUCGCCUGCUUAAUUGUUUAUACUUUUAGUCAACAUUUAAUUUGAAGUAAUUUCUAAAAGGUAAAAGGACUAAAUUAAUAUUUUCACCUGCUGCCCGUCCCCAUGUACCUGAGUCACUGCCUGCUGGCCAGACGACUGAGAGCGGGAAAGUUUGUUGACUGAAAAGAGCAGAUUUGCCGAUAUAUAGUUACCUUUUAUUUACUUUAAUCUGUAGAGUGACACGUGUAAAUCCUGUAAUUUUCUCAUAAACCUUGGAUGUGACGCUGGAUCCACAGCUGCUUUUUGUUCAGACUGUGUGUAUUAGACCCACUCAGCGAUAGUUUUCUUCGGAAACUAGAAGCCACUACAUUCGUGCAAGAACAGCUUUCUAUGAGAAAUCUGUUUCACUUUAUUUUUAUACAGUCCAAACAAAAGACCUGUAUUACCCAACAUUAUCACAGGUUACCAUUUCCCCCUGUUUAGUCUACGUUAGCAUCAUGCUAAGGUCAUUUUCGAAUGGGGGUGGGUACUAUAGCAAAGUUUGGAUUACUGUUAUCGUAUAUUUAUCAACAUAUAGUAGUUUCCUGUAUAUUCAAUCAUGAACAAACCUGCCAGGACUCCAGUUUGGCAGAUUGUACUUUGCAGAGAAACUAGAGUCCACUUUCCAACGGACAAUGGUUCAACUCCCUGCUUUAACCUUCAGCAUGCCCCGCCCCCUUCUCUAUACUCCUUCCUGUCUUUUCUGGCUCUUAUAUCAAUAAAGGAAAAAAGGCACCAAAAAUUAGUGAAAAUCUUUACUGUUGGAGACAUUUUGUCCGUUUGUUGACCAAUUUUACGUUGACUAAUUAACAAACAAUGCACCUCCAAUGCUCUGGGAGCGAACAGACGAAGUGACGAGUUUUCACAGUUUUCCCCGAUUUACUCAUAUUGAUCAUCCAACCAAUCGCCCAAUCAGAGUCCUUUCAGGGUCCAUUUGUCCAAUUCUUCUCUCCAUCCCACAAUCGGUGAAUAAUGGACGUCAACUGGACUUUAGGUGAGUCGAAACCAUCCAUUACUCACCCCCCUCAUCAGAAGAUCUCUGCCUCCACGCUGAAGAAGCUGAUAACGCCGACCGUCUGCCAGCGUGGUUUGAUUGCUCGACAGACAAAUGUAGCCAAAGGGAAAACACUCAGCGUGAUGGAUUCAGGCGAGCUUAAUGAAAUGCUGCUGUUGUGAGCUGGCACCGCUCAGAAACUGUGGCCCUCAUAAAGGUCGCCAUGAAUCAAGUCGCUCCCUUCCCUGCCUACCACAUUUAUGAUUUUAUGAAAAGCUGACCCCAGCCGAACACAUAAAUAUCCAACCGAGUGUUUAAGAGCCGAGGAAAGAGUUUGAAAGUUUUAAAAAUCCUAAAGAGAUCCAAAUGAAUGUCAAGAGAUCCUUUUGACGUUAUCUACCGUUGAACACCUGCUCUCUACGUCUCCAACCUCAGGAAAACGGAGGGAUAACGGAGAGAGAGAAAGAAGUCAAACUAAAUCUACUAAUACCAGCUCUAGUUUUUCACCCUUUGGAGCAUCUCUACAAGAGCUGUGGCGAUACACUAAUGCGGCCAACGUGCGUCACCUUGUCCGGGUAGGUUGGUUGUAUUUCUAGAAUAUUUCACGUUUGUGUGAAACAGCCGACAAACCGCCAAACUUUUAUCUAGAUUAACUCUGUUCUUCUUCCUUUCCUUCGUUCCCACACAUCUGCUCUUAACCCUGAGAACUCCAAGCUAUAUUUUGCUAUUUUUGGUCUUUAAAAAUCUAUGAAACAACUCAAUCCUUUCGAUCACAGCAAAUCUAAACACAUCUUUUUUUUCAGGACAAUCUCAGCUUAACCAGAAAACAAAAACGGAAACUGAUCCCAACAGUAUUUCGCUCCAAAAAACACAUAAAUCUACAGUGACCAAGCCUUUUCUCACCUGAACAUCAUUCUCUCAAGUCUUGUCUAUCAGGAGAAGAAAUAUUGGGAUUGGAACAAACACACAACAGAAACUAUUGACAUAUUUACACUCAUUCUUCCAGGUGUUUUUGACUAUAUACAGUUGUUUCUGCCACUCCUUGAAGCAGUUCCUGUCUGGGAUGAGACAGAGGACCACAUCAUACUGCUCACAAUCUCUUCUCUGUUUGUUUCCAAACAUUAUUAGGACCAUUAUUUCUGAUUUUGAAGACAAGCAGGGAACUUUCUCGUCUCUUAUUGGACACUACCGUCAAAGGAACAAUAGAAGAAGAAUAUGAGACCAUGUGAUUGGUCGAGAGUUUGACAGAAAAAGACGUCAUCAAAACAGCUCGUCAAACCGGAAGACAUUAACGAUUAAGUGAUCUUUUUUUUAUCACAAUAAUCUGAUCAAUAAUCCUAUUUUCACCGGUAUAUCACUGCGGAUUUACCAUCAAACGUCUCUGAUCAAACACCUGUUUUUGUGGCUGGAUUGUAAACCUUGUAGCAGGUGUAGAAAUGUCUGGAAACCCUCAAUAGAUCGCCAAAAGGGUAAACUUUUGAACACUUUUGAUCCCGUAGAGAUACACGGUAUAGAUCCUGAGAAACUGUAAACUAUAUUAAAGGUGUCGCAUGGGAUCGCCGGCAAUCCAUCGCAGAAAUCCGAAAAUACACUUAAGGGCCGAUUUUGGACGAAAAUUUUCGGUGCAUCCCGACUUUUGAGCAUGAUGGUGCAGGAGUCAUAUUCCCUGCCAUUGUCUU